GACGUCACGGCUCGGUGGGACUCCCGGAGCCCGGAUGCGCGCUGGGACUCGGUGCAGUCCAGCUCCACGGUCGCGCGUCCCACAGCUCCCUUCACGUCCGUUCCUCCGUUUCCCCACCUUGGGAGGGCCAGGACUUCCGAGGCUUUAGGGGGCAGGAAGCUGCGAGAAGGUGGCGCUUGCUUAGGUGAGGCGCGGAGGAUGGUAUUAGAGAGAGGAACGUGACUGGAAGCUCCCUGGCCAUGGACGAUCGCUGGGUUCUAGGCGCCUGCUCGCCCCAGCGGUGGACGGUCACGUGAUACCCCCCAGUGUACCUUUCCUGCAGCGUGUUACGUGGCGCACAGAGAACGUCGCUUCCAGAGGACCGUUUUUUCGUAACUGGCAGUAGUAAUCUGGCGGUUGACACUCUCAUUGCCUGUAUAGGCUGAUGGCCCACUCACCUUUUUAGCUGGGCUCCUGACCUGUCCGGCCAGAAAGUUGCCAUUGGGAAACCUGGACCCCUACUGAAUGGAUCUGCUGGCACCUAGACCUCAGAGAAGGGGGAACUGAAGACUGAAGUCUGACCACUGUUCUUUGUUGAAAAUUUCUUUCUCAGGGGCUUGGAGGGAUCACAUCUACAAUCCUGAGCUAAUAUUCUCUUAUGCUGUCCCCAAAAUUUAAACGAAGCUUCUCUUUCUUAACCCAUUGCAAAUGAGAAAAAUCUUGAAUCUCCCUAUGACUGUAAGCCCUUAUUUCAAGAUAUCCCGCCUUUUUAGGCCAAAACCAAAGUGUAACCUCCAUCUAUUGAUUUACAAUUUUGCCUGUAACUUUGGCUUUCCUGAAAUUUACCCCAGCCUUAAAAAAAAAAAAGAACAGAAAAAGAAAACUGCAAGGCAUCAGGGAGGUCAGAAUUUGGGCAUGAGCUGCCUGAUCCUCCUUGCUUUGCAUCUUUGCAAAUAGAUGCCUUCAGCUGUGCAUGAUGGCUCACACCUCUCAUCCCAGCACUUUGGGAGGCCAAGGCGGGAGGAUUGCUCCAUCCCAGGAGUUCGAGAUCAGGGGCAAAAUGCCGAAACCCUGUCUCUACAAAAAAUUUAAAAAUUAGCUGGGCAUGAUGGUGCACUUCUGUAGUCCCAGCUACUUGGGAGGCUGAGGCAGGGGGAUUCCUUGAGCCCAAGAGGUUGAGGCUACAGUGAGCCAUCAUCGUGCCACUGCACUCCAGCCUGGGAAACAGAAUGAGACUCUGUCUCAAAACAAAACAUUUGAAAAAUAACAAGUUCAGGUGCAGUGGCUCAUACCUGUAAUCCCAGCACUUUGGGAGGCCAAAGUGGUCGGAUCACUUGAGGCCAGUAGUUCAUGACCAGCCUGGCCAACAUGGCAAAACCCCAUCUCUACUAAAAAUACAAAAAUUAGCUGGGUGUGGUGGCUGGCAACUGUAGUCCCAGCUACUCCGGAGGCUGAGGCAGGAAAAUCACUUGAACCCAGGAGGCGGAGGUUGAAGUGAGCCGAGAUCACACCACUGCACUCCAGCCUGGGCAACAGAGCAAGACUCCGUCUCCAAAAAUAACAAAAAAUAAACACAUGCCUUCCUUCCUACUGCUGCACAACCUCACUGUGUCAGGCAGGCAUCUCUGGAUCCAGCUGGUUUUUGUUUUGCUGAGGCUCGGCUUCUUCCUGGAACUUUUUGAAACAACACUCAAGGGUCUCAAAUGGCUGACAUGAUGGUCUGUGACCUGAAAGUUGUUGAAUAGUUGGAGUGUUCUGCAUUCAUGUGGAAGAGGCUAAAGGAUGUUUGAUGAAGCACUAUGGGCUGCCCUGGAAGAGGACUGAAGAAGCAGCUGCAGGAAAGAAACGUCCACUCUGCUCCAGUCAACCCCACUGCUGGUGUCCUCUGCACUGCCUUGCACUCCCUGAAGAGAGCCUGGGCAACAGAGCGAGACUCCAUCUCAAAAAAAAAAAAAAAAAAAAAAAAAAAAUUGGGGACUAUGUAUAUAGAUUUACUACACUGAAGCCCUCCAGCAGUCUAAGAACUGAUGCCUCUAACGAAGGAAAGGACUGCAUGUUUCUGAUGAAGCUACCAUGACCUACCAGAUUUCCAACGCCUGCCAAAAUUAAUCUAUUUGUCUGUGGUAGAAGAGGCCAUACCAUUGUGGCCCUUGAAACUUACUGUAUGAUGUUUUAUUUAGUGAACAGUUCACAUACCCAAAUGGUUGUAACUGAUACUGCUGAAUAUAUUGUAAGAACAGAAGUGUUAAGUAUGUAUAGCACUUCUUUUGAUUGUAAGGAAUGUUCCCAGUGGGGAAAUGCCAUAAUUAAAACAGUGAUCGUGGGAUGAA